GAGAUGUUAAUCUUGGGCAACUCCUAAUCUUCAAUUGUUGAAGAGAAGUGAGAUUGUGCAGUCCAUCUGGAGGUAGAAAUUCGCGACCCUUAAAGACCCCAAUAAUGAGCUUCUUCAAUUUAGAGAGAGGAGGAACGAUUGAGGAAGAAGGAAAAGAAGUUGAUGUUGUGUUGCGACACAAGUUGCACGCUCACUUCCCUCAAUUCUAAAUCUUCAUCGAGAGAUGGAAACUGAGGGAUCAAACUCAAAUUAGGGCAACCAAUACAGUGGAAUUUAGAAAGACAAGGAAAUUGGAGUAGGUCUGGUGAUGAUAUGGUGGUUGAAUCAUCACUGUCAUCUUCAUACCUCUUCAUCCGCCAUCCUAUCAGCUUACGACAAUCCCACAAUUUUAGAACCUUGAGGGAUGGAAAGAAUGAUGCUGCUUGUCCCUCAAUUUCUAUGUAUUCUAAAUCAUUUAAUCCCGAAAUCUCUAAGUUUUGAAGAGAAGGGAUUUGAUGCAAUGGUGGGAGAUGCUGACAUCUGCAAUCCAGUAACUUAAUAUUGACAAGAUUUGCGAGGGAAGAAACCCAACUCGGAAG
rnacentral:misc_RNA from 1 species